rnacentral:rRNA from 1 species
GAUCCUGGCUCGGGAUGAACGCUAGCUACAGGCUUAACACAUGCAAGUCGAGGGGCAGCAUGGUCUAGCAAUAGACUGAUGGCGACCGGCGCACGGGUGAGUAACACGUAUCCAACCUGCCGAUUAUUCCGGGAUAGCCUUUCGAAAGAAAGAUUAAUACUGGAUAGCAUAACGAGAAGGCAUCUUCUUGUUAUUAAAGAAUUUCGAUAAUCGAUGGGGAUGCGUC